CUUGCUCACAGUAGUGCACUGGAGUCCAGCAGCUCGCUCUUACUCUCUGAAGUUUUUUACUUGGAAGAUUUCAUGAAGGGAAGACAGCAGGAAAAGCAGGAUUAGCAUGAUGCCAUAUGGCGUGGAACAGCCCCUUGGCCAUUUUGGGUCAGCUGUCCUGAUCGUAUCCAUUCGCUGCCCUUGCUGGCAGGGCAAUAUGAGAAGCUGAAAAGUCCCUAACUUGGUGUAAGGACAGCUCAGCAACAAUUAAAAUAAAUACUGCAGUUUCUCCAGAAUGAACCAAAUUUUGCAUUCCCUUGAGACCCUUGAUAUCUGUUCCUGACAGCCCUGUGGAGCAGGGUGCUUCAUAGUGCUUCCAUGAGAGCUGGAAGCUGCAGAUUACUCAUAAACAAGUCAUCUAACAUCCAUCAGCAAGCAAAGCCACUUACUGGGAUAUUUUACCUAAUAAUACAAAUGACUUAUUUGAGAAUUACAAACCCAGUUCAAAAUAAAAUCAAACUAGCUCUGCUGCAGGUCAUACUCUGAGAUUCUUAGCUUGCUAAAUCAUGGCUUUUACACAGAAUUCUGCAGCUCCACAUCUAAUUCUUUCACUGCCUUACUACCUGUGAGUGUCCAGCUGAAGAUACUUGUGAAUGAUCAU